rnacentral:rRNA from 1 species
ACGUAGGGGGCAAGCGUUAUCCGGAAUUAUUGGGCGUAAAGAGUGCGUAGGUGGUUUUUUAAGCGUGAGGUGAAAGGCAAUAGCUUAACUAUUGUAAGCCUUGCGAACUGGAAGACUUGAGUGCAGGAGAGGAAAGUGGAAUUCCUAGUGUAGGGGUGAAAUGCGUAGAUCUUAGGAGGAACACCAGUGGCGAAGGCGCCUUACUGGAAUGAACCUGACACUGAGGCACGAAAGCCUGGGGCGCAAACAG